rnacentral:lncRNA from 1 species
CUUUUUUUUCUUUAAAGGUUUUAUUUAUUUAUGUGAAAGAGAGCACACACGCGAGAGUGCACACGUGCUUGAGCAGGAGUGGAGUGAGCAGACUACCUGCUGAGCAGGAAGCCCAACACGGGACUCAAUCCCAGGAUCCUGGGAUCAUGACCCAAGCCAAAGGUCAGUUGCUUACCUGAGCCACCCAGACGCCCCAUAAGAACAAUUUUCAAAGGUUAAAAUGAAUAUAAAAGUUAUUUAUGAAAGAGUGCAUCUUUUAUACACACCGUAGGUUUCUGCUUGCAUACAUCCAUGCACACAUACACAUUUUCAGUAAAAGUAGUCCUCUCAGAUUUUUGGGAUGAACUUUUUAAAUCUAUCAUUUUAUUGUUGUUCAUAUGUAUUUCAGUAUUUUUGGUAAAAUGGACAUUUGGAAAUUGUAUUUAUUUUUAAUUAAGUUGUUGUCAACAUUAUUCUGUAGGAGCCUAGUUUAAAAAAAUACAAAAAUGAAAAUAGAAAACCUUGUGUUUUUCAUUAAAUAUGUGUAUGUAAAUAUAAAUAUUUUGUCCAUUUAAAUGUCCAUUUACACAUAAGCAAAGUAAGUUUAUCCAAUAAAUCAAUGCUUGAAGAUUGUAAAAUUUAUUACUGUUUUACAUUAAUUUAAUAGAUAAAAAUAGAAAAAAAUUAGGAAAGCUUUAGCUCUUUUAAGAGAUUACUGGAUAAGGCAGCUCUGGUGGCGCAGCGGUUUAGUGCCACCUGCAGCCCGGGGUGUGAUCCUGGGGACCUGUGACCAGGUCCCGCGUCGGGCUCCCUGUGUGGAGCCUGCUUCUCCCUCUGCCUGUGUCUCUGCCUCUCUCUCUCUCUCUCUCUCUCUCUCUCUCUCUGUCUCUCAUGAAUUAAAAAAAAAAAAGAUUACUGGAUAAAAAUCAUGCUGAAAAAAAUUAGAGGUAUUAUUAAGUAAGAAGAUUCCAAUAAAUAUCAUGCAUGAUUGGCAGUAAACAACAGAAGUAUUUCCACUAAAACUGAGGCUGACACAAGGGGUAUUAUGGCCAUGGCUCCUUCCAUUCACCACUGCACAAGAUGCCUGGACACUGGGAACCAUGUGGAAUACAUGUGUCGUCAUUCAGAGAAUGUUUUUAAUGAGGAUCGAAAAGAACAAGUUAUCUCUAUGUUUACUAGCAUGAAAACAACUCCAAUAUAUGUGUGCAGAAUAAAAUAUCACAAUAUAACAUUCACUGAAAACUUUUAACUAAAAUCACCUAAUGAUAGGUAAAUGCAUUUUUAUAAGACAUACACCUAAUCUUCCACAGAACAGGCAACAGUGAUUACAAAACUGGUGAGUGGGGGAUCCCUGGGUGGCUCAGCGGUUUGGCUCCUGCCUUUGGCCCAGGGCGUGAUUCUGGAGUCCGAGGAUCAAGUCCCGCAUCCGGCUCCUGGCGUGGAGCCUGCUUCUCCCUCCUUCUGUGUCUCUGCCUCUCUCUCUCUAUGUCUAUCAUAAAUAAAUAAAUAAAUCUUUAAAAAAACAAAACUGGUGAGUGAUGAGUGAGGGCAUGACAGAGAAGGAGAUGUUUUACUUCUUAGUCCAAAAUGUGUAAUACUGUUCAGAGUUUAACCUUAAAACAAAGAUAUACAUACAGCAUGUGAUGUUUAAAGUAAAAGAAGGGGGCAGCCCCGAUGGCUCAGCGGUUUAGUGCGGCCUUCAGUCCAGGGCGUGAUCCUGGAGACCCAGGAUCAAAUCUCAUGUCAGGCUCCCUGCAUGAAGCCUGCUCCUCCCUCUGCCUGCGUCUCUGCUCACCCCCACAUGAAUUAAAAAAAAAAAACAAAACAAAUAAAUAAAGCAAAAGAAGGAGCACCUGAAAAAAAAAAAAAAAAAAAGAAGGAGCACCUGGGGGGCUCAGUGGGUUAAGCAUCUGACUCUUGAUUUCAGCUCUCAGGUCUUGAUCUCAAGGCCACUGAGUUCAAGCCCCUACUGGGUUCCAUGCUGAGUGUGGAGCCUACUUUAAAGCAAAAGAAAUGUAGUAUUUUAGUAACAAUUGGUGGAAAUGGAAUUUGGUUCCAGCCACUAUUAUGCCAAAGACCUAGUUUUUUGCUUCAAUAUAAUGGCUGAAACAUUUUUACCUAAAAUGUCUGCUACACAAAAGUCCCUGAAUGAAUGAGCAUGGGGUGGUCAUGCUGUGAGUGAUGUUAAAGCAUUUACUGUUAAAACAAAUUAUACAAUGGGAACCCUGGGUGGCUCAGUGGUUGAGCAUCUGCCUUCAGCUCAGGGCGAGAUCCUGGGGUCCGGGAUGGAGUCCUGCCUCAGGCUCCCUGCGAGGACCCUGGAACUCUGCCUAUAUUUCUGCCUCUCUGUGUCUCUCAUGAAUAAAUAAAUAAAAUCUUUAAAAAAUAACCAAAUUAUACAAUAAAACAUCCUUUAUCAUUGAAAUGUUUCAGAACUUUCCAUCCUAAUCCAAAUCGGUAACAUUCUAGAGCUGGAAACAUGCUGACUCACUUGUGUAGCUUCAAAUGCCUCGCAAAAUCAGGGACAACAGGUUACCCCUUCUCAGUCUUAUUUUCCAGCUGUUCCUGCACAUUCAUGCACGUAAACAUGAAGUUCUUUUUUUUUCCUUUCCUUUUCCAAAUUUGUAUUUAAAUUCUAGUUAGUUCACAUGUACUGUAAUACUGUUAUCAGGAGUAGAAUUUAGUGAUUUACGUAUAACACCUAGUGCUCAACAGGACAAGUGCCCCCCUUAAAACCCAUCACCCACCUCCUUUCCU